rnacentral:rRNA from 1 species
GCUGACGAGUGGCGGACGGGUGAGUAAUGUCUGGGAAACUGCCUGAUGGAGGGGGAUAACUACUGGAAACGGUAGCUAAUACCGCAUAACGUCGCAAGACCAAAGAGGGGGACCUUCGGGCCUCUUGCCAUCGGAUGUGCCCAGAUGGGAUUAGCUUGUUGGUGGGGUAACGGCUCACCAAGGCGACGAUCCCUAGCUGGUCUGAGAGGAUGACCAGCCACACUGGAACUGAGACACGGUCCAGACUCCUACGGGAGGCAGCAGUGGGGAAUAUUGCACAAUGGGCGCAAGCCUGAUGCAGCCAUGCCGCGUGUAUGAAGAAGGCCUUCGGGUUGUAAAGUACUUUCAGCGGGGAGGAAGGGAGUAAAGUUAAUACCUUUGCUCAUUGACGUUACCCGCAGAAGAAGCACCGGCUAACUCCGUGCCAGCAGCCGCGGUAAUACGGAGGGUGCAAGCGUUAAUCGGAAUUACUGGGCGUAAAGCGCACGCAGGCGGUUUGUUAAGUCAGAUGUGAAAUCCCCGGGCUCAACCUGGGAACUGCAUCUGAUACUGGCAAGCUUGAGUCUCGUAGAGGGGGGGUAGAAUUCCAGGUGUAGCGGUGAAAUGCGUAGAGAUCUGGAGG